GUACAAGGGCACCACUGUACUCCACCUCCACUCAUCCAGCAUCCUUUUGGUCCUGAAGAUCGCAUUGAACAACCUGGAGAGCCACUCCCCUCCUGAAUUACCCAUGCACUUCCAGAACUCCACCGGGAUCUCGUCAGGCCCGGUCGAUCGACCCCUACUCAUCCUACGCAAAGCCCUCAUGACCUCAUCCAUCCUAAUGCGCCUGCAGUAUCCAAGGUCUCUAUGUCGCUCUGAAUGCCCCAACUCCCCUAGCUCUAUGUUACGAUCCCCCUCCUCGUUAAGUAAGUCACGAAAGUACGCCUGCCACCUCUGCUUGACUUGAGACUCCCCCAUCAGAAC
rnacentral:lncRNA from 1 species